rnacentral:misc_RNA from 1 species
UUUCCGUAGGUGGGCCUGCGGAAGGAUCAUUAUUGUAUAACCGAGGUGCGAGGGCUGUCGCUGACCCGAAAGGUCGUGCACGCCCGAGUGCCCUCACACACAUCCAUCUCACCCCUAUGUGCACCACCGCGUGGGUCCCCCUUUGGCUUGUUCGGAGGGGGGCUUACGUUUUCACACAAACUUUGUAUGCAGUGUAGAAUGUAUUUUUUGUUUUUGCGAUCACGCAAUCAAUACAACUUUCAACAACGGAUCUCUUGGCUCUC